rnacentral:other from 1 species
UGUGCUCGACCUUGUGCGUGAUCUGCUCAGUCUUGAGCCAACACGCGAUGAUCGGGAGGCUUGUUUCUCUGGGCGGUAGCAGUGCCCUCCAGGAGCAGCCACCCACCUGCUUAGGCAGGUUCAAGAUCACCCAGACACGGCAAGGUGGAGCAUUU